GUGACAUGGGGGUGCUGACGUGUAGACAUCAAUAUAUAUAUAAUCUAAAUUCAGGAUCGACAAGAGCAUAUUUAACUGUUUAAUUCCGAUAGAAACUUUGAAAAUUUUGUUAAAGCUACCAAUACAAGAUGGUUAGUUCAGUUUGCCUUGCAGUCAUUUGUUUUGCUGGGAUCUCUGUUACCAUGCCAACUGCAAAAGCGUCAUGUUCUUGUCCCAGAAUUUAUGCACCUGUGUGCAGCGUUGGUGGCAUAACGUUUCAAAAUCUAUGUUUUCUAGAAUGUGCCGGGGCGACCUACCUCCAUGAUGGUGAAUGCACUGGCUUACGUAAGCGAUCUGCUGUAGGCCAGCAGCCUACUAUUGAACCUAGAAUACGACAACGAUUGCAAUAGGAAAAGCGCAAAGUAAGCUCUCGUAACUUUUUUAAUGUUCCAUUUCAUAAGAUUUUUGUUUGGUAUAUAAAUUAUAAUCUACAUGAACUAUAAUUAACAUGUAUACAAAGACGUAAACAUGCAUCGUUAAUACUUUAAUUUCAACCAAGGAUAUAAACUUGUUUCAUGUCAAAUGUCCGAUGCACAUAUUAUUGAGUCGCUUUAGUUAUGCUUAUGUUAAAUUUCUCUAUCAUGUGUAUAUUCACUUUUAAAAUUGAUAAAAACAUUAUUUGAAAUAAAACAAUCAAUUUGAAACAUCCGAUUUAAUCAAUUUGAAACAUCCGAUUUGGUAAGAUGUAACAUAGUUUAUUUACGAAUGAAGUAAGACGGCACAGCUUAAAGUACGCUUUCUCAAUAAUCCUUUAAUUAUGUGUUUGUAAGGAGCAGAAGGAACGUGUAAUUCGAGCGUGUAUUUGAAGUUGUAUAUUUGUAUCAUACAUGACGUUAAUUUUUAUAAAGAACACUAUUUUUAUAAUGUUUCAUAAAACUGUAAAUUCAGACAAGAGCGCGUAUUUCAGACCGUGUAUUAUAUUCAGUAAAUAAACAAAAAUUAUAUUUAAAUAUGUGUCAUAUAUAACUAUACAUUGGUAAAGAAGCCGUACUUUAAGCUGUAACAUAUAACUUAAGGUAGUCAUACUCUAACGUUUUCUCGCCAAAAAAUCAUUUCCGGAACGUUAUUUUUUACAAUAUUCGGUAUUCAAUAAUUGUCAACCGUUUUAACUCGAAAUUUAGUACAUAGCGAUAGAGGAUGAGUGAUUGUAAAUAAUAUAGUCCCAAAGAUUUGAAAAAUAAAGUUCCGGAAAGAACCGAAUUGCCACUAUAUUUGCUAAUGUUAGAAUUUCUUUGGCGGGAAAGCAUUAUGUACAGUAUGACUAUCAAAUGAAGCAUUAUUUCAAGUCUUAUAGAGUCCACCAGGAACUGAAUUGCAUACCAAGUUGUUGUUUUUUUUACAGUUUUGAGCUAGCAUACACUGGGGCAUGUGAUGAACUGUCAACAAAGGCACCUGUCAGAAACUAAGAAGCACUGUAACAUUUUAAUUCUGCAGAAUAGUGAUAUAUUGUCUCUGUUCAACUAUACAAUGUUAAAUGAAAUUGUGAAUUAGAAACAUAGCCGCUGUAAUCUUAUACGAUCUUUGAACAUCUUGUGGUCAAUUUGCUUAUAAUGAGUGGGAGUACGUGCGUGUGUGUGUGCGUGCGUGUGCGUGAGUGAGUUUUAUUCGCUACGCUUUCUUUAUUUGUUACUCCUUUAAUAUGUACGUGCAUGCUUUUAAACCAGAAAUAUAAUAUAAUACAAAUGUACAAAUGCC